AUUGAACGCUGGCGGCAUGCCUUACACAUGCAAGUCGAACGGCAGCACGGGAGCAAUCCUGGUGGCGAGUGGCGAACGGGUGAGUAAUAUAUCGGAACGUGCCCAGUCGUGGGGGAUAACGUAGCGAAAGCUACGCUAAUACCGCAUACGAUCUACGGAUGAAAGCGGGGGAUCGCAAGACCUCGCGCGAUUGGAGCGGCCGAUAUCAGAUUAGCUAGUUGGUGGGGUAAAAGCUCACCAAGGCGACGAUCUGUAGCUGGUCUGAGAGGACGACCAGCCACACUGGAACUGAGACACGGUCCAGACUCCUACGGGAGGCAGCAGUGGGGAAUUUUGGACAAUGGGCGCAAGCCUGAUCCAGCAAUGCCGCGUGCAGGAUGAAGGCCUUCGGUCGUAACUGCUUUGUACGGAACGAACGGUGAGCUCUAAUAAAGCUUGCUAAUGACGGUACCGUAAGAAUAAGCACCGGCUAACUACGUGCC
rnacentral:rRNA from 1 species